rnacentral:sRNA from 1 species
ACCUGGCCGGGGCAAAGAGCAGGCGGUCCCGGCAUCAGAAAGACAUACACCGUGCCACGGAAUGCGUGCGCACAUAUGGGCGUU